UGAACUAGACUUAAAUUCCUUCUUAAAUUCCUUGAAGCCGUCCAAUUUCACAAUUCCAAUUGUAUUGAAAAUAAAUUCCCUUCUUAAAUUCCCUUCUUAAAUUCCUUGAAGCCGUCCAAUUGUAUUCUCAUAAUUCUCAAUAUAAUUCUCACAAUUCGUCAACAGCUCAGUCUAUCAAGGCGGCUCUCCCAAUUCAAUUCGUCACCGCCUAUCGGAAACCUCCUCCCCCAAUUCUCACCGCCUCCCCCAAUUCUCGUCUGCAAUAGGUGAUUCAUCUCUGCUCGAGGACGCUUCAUUUCCAGCUCAAGACAAAUUUUCCAGCGGUUUUUCCUCUCACUGACUUCGUUUUCCUCUCAAUUGAGAUCGAGGUGAAUAUCUUCAUUCCUUUGUUCAAUUACUCUUUCGAUUAUGCUAAUUGGUUAGAGAUUUAGAGCUGUAGUGUUCUCCCCUCAAUUUUAGCAAUGGCUUUUGAGUGUUUGAUUUUGAUUAGGAAAUGAAUAUUUUUAGGAAUGAAAUCAGAUUCAGGUGAUUACUUGUAUAGAAUGUUGAUUAUACCGUUGGUUGAAUUAGUAAUAAGAGAAAAUGAGAAUUUUGUAGAUUCGAUUUUACCCUAAUUCGAUUAAAAAUUAGGAACAGAUGUAGAACACAUUCGUGCCAUCUUCCAUGUGUUUGUUAAAAUGUUCAAACAGAUCUUUCUAUGAUUAGGAUUCAAUAAUGGCCAGACUUAAUUAGCAGUGUUUGAUUACCAGAAUGUUAUCUAUAGAGCUUAAUCAAACAAUUUCUGGACAAAUGCACUUAUCUAUAGAUCAUCAUUAUUUUAGCAUUGGAGUAUAAUUGAAAAGAAAUACUCAUUUCUAUGGUACAAUAGAAACAUCGUAAUGACUUACCUCAUCUUCCUCUUCUUUAUCUUUUGCUAUUUUAUCUGGCGAAUUUGCAUCUUGUGCUGGUAUGGGCAAGGGUCUUGGAAGAGAUUUCACAUUAUCCAGAUACUGUGGGUGCUAAAUUGAAGGGAACUGCAGGAGUAAAAUGGAGAAGUGACAUGGGAAGAGGCACAAAAGUGAUACAAUGGUUUCUGAAUUCUGAUGGAUUGCGUACAUGCUAUCUAGUUACUGAUAAGGAAAAUCUGCAUAACUUAUGUUUAUGCUUGAACUUAUAGUUAAAUGCCUAGAGGAGUUCUGUUUCUAUUCUCGGCCAUGAAUCCCGGCCAUGAAUCCCGCAUAGUUGCCAAAAUCUAAGGUACUUUUCUAUUCCGGUUUGUCUCCCAGUGCAUAACUUGCAUAUUUAUCAUAACCUGAUGAUACUAAUUUUUUCAUAACUAGUUUAGGAAUGGACAGGAACAAUUCUUGCUUCCAACAGUUGUAUUACGUUCGUUCUUUUAUGGUGUCAUGGUUAUUUUUAAAAAUGACCUUGUUGCUUGCUAUUCGCUUGCUUGCUGUUUCGACAUUUUGCAGUGUGACACAUCUCAGAGUGUUCCACAAAUCUUAAAUGUAUCUGCAAAGUUGCAACUAAAGUUGAUAAUAUUGGAGCUUUCAUUCAUGAACAUCAUUUUAUUCAUUCAUCAAAAUGUCAUUUAACAUGUAGAAUAGCACCAAGAAUUUGAAAAUAGAGAAAAUAUUAUAUACUGUUUGAACUUAUAGUUAAAUGCCUAGAGGAGGAUUUACCGGACGACUUAGAGAAGCCUCAUCCCGUGGCACUCAGCUUAAGGAACUAGAGCACGUUCCUCCCGAGCUAGAGAAUAUCUUCACACUUUUUGACGUUCCAGUUUCAGUUGUUUACAUUUUUAAUUAUUGUUAAAUUUUUAUUAAAAUUGUUUGCAGGCUAAAGAGAACCAUUGAAAUUUCCCUCCAUUUUGGGACCUAUUUCUCAAGACUCAUAGGCUAAAGGACUCAUACGAGUUAUGUUCACAACAAGCCAAAGAAAUUGAGGUAAUUUGCUGUUUGAGCUUUACUUCUUUCCUGUUUCAGUUUAGGUGAAUUUUAUUGACAUUAUAAAACAUGUUGCGUUAUGUUCACAACAAGCCAACGAAACUGAGGUAAUUUGCUGUUUGAGCUUUAUUUCUUUCCUGUUUCAGUUUAGGUGAAUUUUAUUGACGUUAUAAAACAUGUUUAGCUUAUUAUCAUGCUUCUGUAAGUUCUGUUUUGGGAUAGUAUGCUUCUGUAACUUUUCAGAAGAGUAAGUUCUGUAAGUUCUGUUUUCAGAAGAUUAAGAGCUCUGAAUAUAUGCGUCCAUGUUCUACCAGCUCAGCUGUGGGCUCUGCAUCUUCUGGCUCGUCUCUCUCUCUCUCUCUCUCUCUUCUGGUUUUGUAACUUUCAAUAUUUGGAAUUAAAUCUCUCUCUCUCCUCUCUUCUCGUUAAAAUAUUUAACUAGUACUUUUUUCUCUCUAUUUAUGUCAUCUAGCUCCUUCUAAAAUUCCGUGCCAGUUAAGAAUGCGAAGGAAUCACAAUUUUGAACAAGGAUGGGAUCGGGUAGACAACUGUACAAUCAUCGCUAGCCAAUUCGAGCUUCGUGCAUGGGUAUGCCUUCCUAGUAACAAACAGGUACUUAUGGAACUGAUACAACAGACGGUGGAAUGAUGCGACGGAAGUAACUUGGAAGAGACAACCCAAAUCUCCUAUGGAUGCUUUGGCAGCACCUGCAAGUGAUUUCAUAUACCUUGAAAGGUCUUGUGGGUGUAGUGUUGGGAGUGAGUGACCUAAUCAUAAGCGCAACUGAUAUAGAGAGUGGGCAAGGUUACUCAUACGAGUACAACACGACCCCGAUGGACGGAGACCAUACAAGAUAUAGAGGAAGUGCCAACGAGCAUUGAUGCUCCGCCGGACUGCGAUACUGUUGAAAGAGGUCGCCCAACUGCGACGGCCAUCAAGUCGCCACGACCCAAGCGGCAAGGUCGACCCCCAGUCAAGUAUAGUGAGUUUGUCCCUCGUUGAAUAGGAUUAGUUCAUAUUUUAAUAUUAAUUUAUUUUAGUUUCCUUUUUGAAUUAGGAUAAUUAUCUUAGUUAUUUCCUUUUUGAAUUAGGAUUAUUUUGAACAUUAUAAAUAGGCGCAUAAGCUCUUUUUUUUAAUAAGAUAUAUCAGAUUUUCGUUUA